rnacentral:lncRNA from 1 species
AAGAAGAAUGCACAGAGCUUUCUGGUUAAGAGUCAGCAGGUGUCCUUUGAGUCAAGAUAUUGCAGACGUGUACACAGCCGAUCUAAAGUUUGUCCUCAAAGACAAGCAGGUUACAGAGGAGAUGAAGUCCUUAAUGAAAUAAUUUAGUGUGACAUAUUGAUAUUGAAGGCUGGAAGGCAGAAAAGGAUUUGCAACAAAAUUAAGGUAUGUCUCUCUUGAAAUGGUUCACCAUUCCUUUCUCUGAGGGCUGAUAUGAGAUUUCAUGAGUGAAACAGCCCAUUUUAUUUCUUUCUCCAAGUUAAUGCCAAAACAGAGAUGCCAAUGUGAAGUUCAAGAACUACAACCACAUGAAAAUCUCAUUGGAAUACAUUAAAAUGUACAUUAGAAAAAAAAAAAAAAAAACUAGGGCACCAGCAGUGAAGGGAAUUAGGCCUGGGGAAUGUUAGUUUUAGAUAGCGGCAAUGGAGGAUGGCUAGAGCUAUUAUCAGAGCAUAAAAACGGCAGCCAAAUUUCAACUCUGAGCAGGGAUAAACAUUGUCACAAGCAUCUGAGUAUAUUAAAAAAAAAAAAAAUCUCUUGCUUGAGAAAAUGAAGAUAAGCCUUUCACGUUCAUGGUACAGUUUCAGCAUUUACACAAGAAGCAAAGACAAUACCCACAAAAAAGCCAUAUUCUGUGGCUGGCAAAGCUAUUUGCUGUCCUAACACAUGGGAAGGAAUCUCACUCAUCAUUGUGGCUUGCUGUGACAGUGAUUCGCAACUGGUGGAAGUGUGCAGAUAGGCAGGGAGGGAGCAUUAAAUGUAUGAGCUACCCCUCCUUCCUAGUUGAGAAUCCAGGGUACAUCAUAAAUCUUUAGGAGAAGAAUCAAAAUAUUGAGGUUAGAGUCCUAGCUCUCUAGCUCUGAAGCCUUGGACAAAUCCAUUAACAACUCCAAAGUUUAGUCUUUUCAACCUGAAACAAUACAUUGCUCUACUUUACAGUUUUCACAAAACAGCAUGCACAGUGGACUGUUUUAAACUGUGAAGCAUGUUGUAAGUUUAAGUUCUUAUUAAUUGACAGAGAUGAAUGUACAUCCUUGGCGCCUAGAUUCUUGCACCCCCUCCCAUCUGCUUAGUCAUUUUCCCUAGAGCUAAAUCUCAACCACCUAUCCUUCUUGUUUGGUUCCAAGCAGAUAAUGUUCCACCAGCUUCUAGACACUAACCUAUCCAGGGCACCUUAUGAGGAGUGGACUUGUCUUCACAAGUCCAUUUUCAAUACGAAUUACAACUGUUGCUCCAGAAAUGGUCCCCCAAAUUCCCAGUGAUGCCUAAAUUCGUUGUAAUCUUUUCUCUUUAAAAAAUAAAAAAUGGAUUAAUUAUAAAACAUAUUGAAUAAUGAGGUCGUGUGAAACUCAUAUAGGUCUGCUCAGGGGCAAUUUUGGAAAGAAAGCUUACAGAAUAUACUUGGCAAUGCUGAGCCCUCCCAUUAAAAAGAAAGACCACACAACACUUGCUAUGAAAAUAUAUUAUGUUUUCUUCAGAGAGCUAACACUUCCUCCUUUGUCCUGGGGGUUCUCCAGCGACUUUAGUGCAUUAUUGCAUGUUACUUUACCUAAAGUUAUUAAAACUCACAGAAAUAGCCAUGCAGUAAUAAAAUGGAAACUAUUAGUAUACCAAUCAAACAGAUAUAGAAACAGUAGUGCUAAGAAAAUAUGACCUGUCUAAAACCUACAAAACACCGGAUAGAUCCAGAAAUAGAAUCUAAGCUGCUGACUCUAAACAUUGGGCAAUACUUCCUCUCUUCAGAAUUAUUAUUGUUAAUAGUCUCUUCACAUAAACAACCUUCUGCUCCUUGAGGAUGGAUGAGAUCAUACAAGCCACCCAUUCUUUCCAUAAGAAAUGAGACAGUUGUGGCCAAUGAGUAAUUCAUAGAAUGUUCUUGCGCCAUGGUGAAAACACACAUGUACACACACACACACACACACACACACACACACACUCACACUCAAAAUCCCAUUCUAGAUUCAGAUUGUUUUGGUUUGUUUUCUGAGAUGGAGUAUGAGUUGAAAUGUUAAUUUCAAGCCUUAGCCCACAAUUUUUGCCUAAAUUUCACACUCUGUCCUUUUCUAUUCCAGCCUGUUCUUCCCUCCCUAAAUCAGAUAAUGAAGAACUAGACCAUGGUAGAAUGGAUUUUUAAUAGAUUUUAUAAUUUAGCUAUUGUCACUUCCACAGAGACUGUUCAUUCAACUAGCAUGUAUUAUGGACAUGAAAUAGAAUUUGGAAGGUUGAAAGUCAUUCAGCCCUGACUAUGAAAAAGUUAUCUGAUAGUUUAAAGUGAUCACAUCAGAAUUACACUUGGUCUUAAAAAGAUGCUGAUAAAAACUACUCUUAAGAAAAAGUACUUGCAAAUAGCAUCUAACUAUAAUAUAGGUGAUUUGGACAAUUUAGAUAGAUUAUGUUUUUCCUGCCAAAGUGCUUCUGAGGAAAGGAGAAUGGAAAAGAUAGUAGUACAGAAAUUGGCUCUUCUCAGACCAGCUGAAGUUAUAGCCAAAAGGCCUUUUGUCCAUGUGUGUAGUUUAAAAGACUGUUGGUGUACACUGGGUUUUAGGUCAGCCUGGCACAGGGGCCAAAAGCAGGUACCAGCUCUGUCUUUACAUAUGAAAGAGGAUAUUCUGGCUACAUUGUUGGUAAACAGCAGUUCCUGAUUCACCCCCCCCUGAGAUCUUUCCAUUACAAUGCUCAUGAAAAUAGGAAAAGAAAUGCAAUUUCAACAACAGUGGAAACUAGGAAUGUUGGUCAAAAAUGUGUCAGGCAAAAGUUGGAGAGUCAACUAAGGAAAGCUGAGCCUGGAGGCAGAAUGGUAAAGCCUUGUGUGUUAAUAAGGUGCGGGAUUUCCAUCGACACAGACUCAUAGAGGCACACGUCCCCCUUUCUGGUUUGUGAGAGCUCCUCAAAUGGAGGAAUUCAAACACACUGUUCCACCCUUUGGCCCCUCUUCAGUCUUUAAUGCAUCUCUCAGCUCAGUAUUCCUCAGGAAUGAAACACUGCCAAGGCCCCAAGGCCAGUGUGGAUGUGGUAACCUUUUAGAUCCAGAUGUUGGAAUAUUUAUUUGACCUAUUUUUUUUUGCAAUGCAUGAAAUAGAGACAACUUUAGGCUGUGCAGGCGAAGACUCUUCCUUUAUGAUAAAAUAAACAGACCUUAAGGCCAUGGAAUUUCUCCUCAGGCUAUGGAUACUAACUAAAGACAAGAUGGCCCAAAACCAGAAGGUUGAUUGGGAUUAUGCACAUAAAGAACUCCUGUAGCUUGAGAUCUAAAAGGAUGAUUCUAACUGGGCCCAUAUAAAAUUGAUUAAUAGCAACAGAUUGAUGAAUACCACUCUUCAAGGACAAGAGCAUAUCUUCUCAAAACAAAUAAGUAUCAUAUGAAGUGAUUCUACCAUUUAAACAUAGAACUAUAGCCCUGGAAGAGAGAAAGAACUUAUUUUGAAAACAUUUCUAAUUUUAAAUAAGCUUUUAAGUUACUGUAUUUAUGUUCAAAAAUUUUAGGAAAAUAAGGUUCCUACACAACAAGCAAAUUGUUAAAUCAUUUUUAAUAUUUUUAUCAUAAAAUUAUUAAAAUAACAGACUGAGAUGAAGAAUGAAUUAGACAACGCAAGAUAGUGGUUGACAUGGGCUGAGAUCAGGGGAUGGGGAGUUGUUUAAUGGGUGCAGAGUUUAAAUUUUGUAAGAUGAAAAGAGUUUUGAAGAUAAGUUUGUUACAUAAUAAUGUGAUCUUAACACUACUAAACUCUAUGCUUAAAAAUGGUUAAGUUGGUGAAUUUUAUGUUACAUAGAUUUUAUCACAAUUAGAAAAUUAAAAAGAAACAUAAUUAGAGAGUUCCCUGGUUGUCUAGUGGUUAAGAUUUGGUGCUCUUACCACUGUGGCCCAAGUUCCAUCCCUGUUCUGGGAACUGAGAUCCCACAAUAAGCAGCUGCCAAAAAUGAAAACAUAAUUAACUGUAAAAGAAAUUAAUAAAUUAGAUGAGGAGCAAGCUAAAUAAACCAUAAAUAAAAAAGCUUACUGUGCAGCUUAUUCAUUGGAUAAGAGCAUGGGCUUUGUACCAAAAAAUAUCUAAUUAUUUGUCCUGGUUCCACUAUUUUUCAAGUCUUUGAUUUUGAAAAAGUUAAUCUCUGAAAGCUUUUUUUUUUUCACCUUUAGAAGAAAUACUAAUAGUACAUCCUUUAUAGGAUUUCUGGAAAAAAAAUUCAUUGAGAUGAUAUAUUCAAAGUGUUUAGAUGGUAUUUGGCAUAUAGUUGAGUGCUCAAUAAGUAUUAAUUAUUAUUAACAUACUCAAAAACUAAAAUGUAAUCACAGAUUAAAAUUAUUAGAAAUAAUAAAGAGCUGUGUCAGCAUUCCAGAAAAUUGAGCUUUAAAUAGUGAAUAAAAACUUGAAUUCUUAUCUCAGAAC